UUGAAUACCAUUACUGCCUUUGCAAGACAAAACUUAGCAAACUUAGGCAAGAUUGGAAGAUAAUAUUAAAAAUGAUUCAUAAACAAAUAUGGUGUGAGAGUGUUUGAUUAGAUUCAUCCGGCUCAAGAAAAUCCAACACAGGAAGACCGCUUUACUGCCGAGGAAAAAACCCCGGUAUCUUUUGGAUAGACAGCUGAGUUGCAGCCGGGGACAGACCGAACACGGUGGAGGUCUCUGCUUCUGCCAGGAAUCAAACCCCUGCCGUUCAACCCGUAGACGAGUCAUUAUACUGAAUGAGCUAUGCCGUGUCCUGAGGCAGUUUCUGUUAGUCUAAUAAACACUCCAUCCAUUUAUGGCGCUAUGUGAAUAUUACGUUUGACACCAUCCGUUGUCUGAUGCAGUCCGUAUCAGAUAUUCAAGGCAUUUCGGGAGUUCAGUCGCUCAAACUUACUUUACUAGACCGGAAGCUAUGUGCUUUAAAAUGUCACGUGUUCUGUUGUCAACUGUGAUGAAACUAUGACGUCAGUUACAUAGCCUCACUGACCAGGAGUGUAAAUCCUUUCUACCGCCGGAGGGAAGUAUAAAAUGAACGGAUGAUGGGUAGGAAGUCUGUAGCAACUGAGUACAUAAAAUGUAGAAGGUGCGUGGUGAGGGUGUGAUUCAUUCUGCUACAUCCUUGGUUGACUGUUGAAAAAAAGAAAGAUUCCAAAAUGACACGUCGACGAAGAUCGGAUAAUCGGGACUCCACUGUACGAUUUUGGGAUGAGAGAAUAUGGGCUCACAAAAUCGACUAAUCUGCUCAUUUUGCCCGCAAAACAGAAAUCACGGCGAUUCAAACUCCACUUAUCGUCUCAAAGUUAAGAAAAACUAAGUUCCUUCUUUUGCAUUGAAGAAACAAAUAUUCCGGCCUGGCUAGACUCAACUGAUUCUAAAUAACUAAAGCACAGGACACACAGGACAAAUCUAAAUGCCCCGAGCGGGAUUCGAAACAGGAACCUUCAAAUGGGCAAUUUGUACGGCGCGGCCGUCGAAAUCGGCUAGCGUUAUAUUCAUACAUGCCUCGAGCAGCAUUCGAACCCGAGUUCCUUAUAUGCAUAACAUUAAUAGCGCAGUCAUAAUGAUUUUAUAAAUAAUUAGAAAUUUUACAUCUCCACAAAUUUUAAAAAAGUUCACCUAUAUUUAAUUACGGAAGAAUAAAAACACACACUUAUAACAACCUAGAGUUUCCAAGUUUUAUCUUCCCCCAGGGCUAUAAAAACAAAACGUUUUAUGCACUAUUGGUUACCUUUGCGUUCUGCAUGUCCUUCACAUCACUACCUUCUUGACUUCUUAAUUUAAAACAGUAAAAUUUUAACGAAUAUU